ACAGCAGCAGCCACGGUAAUACGGAGGGUGCAAGCGUUAAUCGGAAUUACUGGGCGUAAAGCGCACGCAGGCGGUCUGUCAAGUCAGAUGUGAAAUCCCCGGGCUUAACCUGGGAACUGCAUUUGAAACUGGCAGGCUAGAGUCUUGUAGAGGGGGGUAGAAUUCCAGGUGUAGCGGUGAAAUGCGUAGAGAUCUGGAGGAAUACCGGUGGCGAAGGCGGCCCCCUGGACAAAGACUGACGCUCAGGUGCGAAAGCGUGGGGAGCAAACAGGAUUAGAUACCCCUGUAGUCCCUGUCUCUUAUAC
rnacentral:rRNA from 1 species